rnacentral:rRNA from 1 species
UUAUACAGUCUUACUAUCCAUAGCACACCUGACACUGUCUGAUUUCAGAAGUUAAGCAGGGUCAAGCCCAGUUAAUAGUUUGAUGGAAGACUGUCAGGGAACACCAGGGGUUUUCAGGU